GGGGAGAUACUCAAGCGGCCAACGAGGACAGACUGUAAAUCUGUUGGUAUUCACCUUCGGAGGUUCGAAUCCUCCUCUCCCCA
rnacentral:tRNA from 1 species